CCUGGUGUCCGCCGCGGGGCAGGUGUCGUGCUGCACCCUCACAGUACUAGAGGUAAAGGUGAAGGUACGCCAACACGAGAGUGACACUAGGCCAUAUGCACCAUACAUACUAUCCAGAAGUAAAUAAGCUGAUACGGAAAUAUACUAGACAAGGAAAGUAUAAGAUAGCCCUUAAACGGGCCCCCACUCUCUUUAAUCGUAUACGAAAUGAUAAAGAUCCAGUCCCGAAGGAUAGGAGGGCCGGAAUCUACACCAUUCCUAUAUAUAAUGAAGACGAAGAUAGACAACAGUUUUAUGUAGGAAGUACUGGCAGG
rnacentral:lncRNA from 1 species